CUUCUUUGGAUAUAAUAUUUCAAUUUACUAAGUUAAUUUAACUCUCUCUUCCACAGGUUGAACAAACUGUAUACCAUCACCCCAGGCUAAUACUCACAUGUGCAAUAUCACUGUAUGUCAGUCACUCUAUUCAUGCUUUACUUCUGCUGUGAAUCCAAGACAAUUAAGGCGCACGAAGAGGCCUUUGGUCCAGAUUGAAAGGACUGAUUAUUUUCUGUGUGCAUAUUUCUGGGAUGGACUGAGCUAUAAGAAGAUAGACACAGAGCCUUUCUCCUGCUCCCCUGGACCCUUCCGGAAUUAGGCAUCCCACAGUGAUUCAUCUGACAGAAAGGAGCCAUCAGUAUGACUCACACCACAGUGAACAUUUUCAGUGCCUCUGGGAAAGAACAAGUAGGUCUUAAUGGAAACUAUCGAAGCAACAGCAGCAGCUGGCGUAUAAGCAGAUGACAGUAGGGAAAUAUAUUUUUUAUAUAUAGUCAAUAUGUCUGGUUGAAAAAUAUAUGUAUAUAAAUGGAAGAAUAUGCAUAUAGAAACCCCAAAGGAGUAUGAAAUACACGUUUGUUUCUGAUCAGCUAACAUUACCAAUUUAGUAUACUGAUUUGUCUGUGUUUCCAUACAUAGUUGGGUUUAGUGAAUUUUCUCUCAAAGUAAAAAAAAAAAAAAAUGUUUUUACUGAAACAAUUUUAUUAUUGCUAUUUUACCAUAACAUCAAAUUAUUACAUUGCAGUAUUUUCCCUCUUUUAAUUUCCCUUUGAUGGUCCUAUUACCAGAGACUUAUAUCCAGAAAUAACAAGGUAAUGGGAACUCAAACUUAUUGAUUCUGAGCAAUUAUCAAAUACUGCAAAGUUAACAUAGUCAUGACAGGUAAGAAAUGAAUCUACCCGACAAUCCCAAAUGUAGUGAACUUUUAAAAUACUCUUUCUUAAAGUGAAAAAUAAGUUUUAGAGUGUCAUUACUCAAGAUUUUUAAAAAUCCUGAUUAAGUAUAUCAUGUAAAUUAGAGAUGAUUCAAAAUAGGUCUCAAAAUUCUUCCAGCAAAAUUUCUGUCAUUGUCUAAUACGGCCCAGCCAAUUAAUUGGCUGCCAUAGGAAAGUACAGGUUAAAAUGUUUUACUAAGAAUGAAAACUUUUGUGAUGAGCCAGAAAAACUAAACAAGAUAAGUUUAUGGUGCUAAAACCUUGGUGUGAAGGUGUGGUGAUUCUCCAAGUUUCUAACAUAGGACUAGACAAAACACUUGGAGAAAUAGAAUACAGACCUCUUCCAAGAAAAGACUGUGUCCUGACCAGCACCACCAGCAAUCCUAAGUGCCUUUGUUUCGGAUUUAUUUAAUUAAGGAAAAUUCUUAUUGAAGUGUGAGGACCAAUUGCUUCCAUUGAAAAUUGUAGAUAAAAUGGAAAGGAUUGUGCAUAGACCUCUGUAUGAAAAUUAUUAUUUGCUCCCAGUGACCUCAUGUAGCUGUUCUUGGACUAACUGGGAAUGUCUCAGUUAUACCCAUGUAUCUGAUUCACAUUCAGAUUAAUCCUGCUGUUGUGAUUUAUGAUGCGCUCGGUUUCAUAUUUACUGCUAGCUCAAACUAAUAAGCUCUCCCUGGACCGGUGCCAUGACACAAGGUCAACGCCUAGUUAAUCACACCAUUGUUUUUCCAUCCAUGUUGCCCUCCAAAUUAUCUACAACGGUAAUUGAUUAAAAGCACACCUUGGGUGAUAUUUUUCAAAAAAGAACAAAUUCAAUUUUUUUUUUUAAAGCUCGUUUUAGGUUUUUACAGGACUCUUUUUGAACAUCUUAAAUCUUUGUAUUAAAUAGAUUUUGCAUUCAUCAAAAUAUAUAUGUUUAGAAUUAGCAUUAAUCACCAUUAAAAUCUCUUUUGAGGCUCCAUUUUUAAACCUACAGUACUUUGAGUUCCAUAUGUGAGCAAAAACUAGGUCAUACCAUCCCAUAAAGAGAAAUGGAAGUAUAUUGACAGUUUUAUUUUGAUGUAUUACAUCAUAUGACAUAAAUCCAUUGUUUUCUACAUUUUUAUUCGGAGUAACAGUUUUUUGUAAAUCACAUUAAAAUGCUCAAGAUAAAGGUAUUAAAGCAUAAGGCAUUAUAUGCACCACUGAUUUUUCAGUGCUGGGACUAACUUUUAUUAAAUCUCUCCAUAUUUAUCAGGCAUUGUGUUUUGGAUUUUUUUUCCCCCUUAAAAACACCUUAUCUUAUUUUACAGUUUCUACUAUCCAUAAGGGAUGCUAUUCAGCAGACCUUAAAAGGAGAGAGUCACUUUUGGACUCAUCUUUUCUACGUAAUCUAAAUCAUACCAAAUGCUUUGGACGUAUAUUAAAAAAAGGUAAAGAUAGUGCCAAAAUAUUAAACCAGGAGGGAAAAGGCUUUUGUAUCUAUUUCUGAUUUUGUGCAUCCUGGCCUUAGAAGAGCUGUUUUGCUUUUCUGUCUUAUGUUCCUUGGAGUAAAUAUGACCUCUGUGUACCGACAACCACAAACAUAUUAGAAGUUUUAGCCACUGGUUGCCAGAAGCAAUCAGAUCCAUGAAUAUUGUGUGGUUUGUUUACUAAAUUUAUACUGGUUACAAAGCACGUAAUUAAAAGGGCAAAAAGAAAAAAAAAUCCAUAUUUUAUUGGCUUAGGGGUUUUCAGGAAAGCCUUGAGCAAAUAGUUUUUAAAUCAAAGUAAAGAAAUUCUUUUUGGAAAAGAGAUCAAGCAUGGGGAAGAUGUGAGAGAAAUUAAAAAGCGCAAAUAGAGAAGCCCAUCUAUCAAGGCAGUGCUAUAAAAUUCCAUUAGUAAUGCAAUAAUGGCUUCAGUAUUUGCCUUCAUUCUUUCCUUUUUCUGCAUUAUGUCCAAAUUCUCAUUCACUCUCCUUAUCUUUGUAAGGGAUGAAGUGGUAACUAUUAGCUUUGGGCUUGGCCAGUAAUCAUAGGUAAAUUCUGAUUACUGGUAUCAAUGGCUACUUUCUCCUGCUUGACUUUGUAGUGUCCGCACAAGAAGAGUUAAAACGAUGACUAAAAUUAUUAUAUGUGAAUGGCUUUGUGUACUGGUUAUUGCCAUUUCCACAGCAAACCUAUUUCAUAUUAUAAAACCAUGUCUGGAAUUUCAUAAUAUAUAACCACAAAUACUACCAUUGUAUCCCAUCCUUCUUUCUCUUUUUGGUAAGUUCUUGGUUAGCUCCUCAUCAUCACUGAGAACUAGGCAAAUGCCUCUCCAACCUUUCAUCCUUCACCUUAGUCCUACAGUUAUUCUGAAAAAUCUGUUUUGUUUGUUUUGUUUUGUUUUUUGUCUUUUGUCUUUUUAGGGCCACACCUGCAGCAUAUGGAGGUUCCCAGGCUAGGGGCUGAAUCGGAGCUACAGCUGCCGGCCUAUUCCAGAGCCACAGCAAUGCCAGAUUUGAGCCGCGUCUGUGACCUACACCACAGCUCACAGCAACGCUAGAUCCUUAACCCACUGAGCAAGGCCAGGGAUCGAACCUGCAACCUCAUGAUUCCUCGUUGGAUUCAUUUCCGCUGCACCACAACAGGAACUCCUGAAAAAUCUUAAUUUACCAUUUGGGUCAUCCAGUUAAGACCCUGAUUAUUUCAUCUUGGAGAAGUAUUACCUAGGGAAUAAAGUUUCAGUACUGGGUUCUAAGAUGAGUUCUUCUGUUAAUUCUAUGGAUUGCUUGAUAUUUGGGGACUUCAGUUAUUUUUUUAAUGAAUAAAGAGAAGUCAAAUUGGGUUAAAUAAUUGUUAAAGUCCAGUUAAUUUAAAAUUGUGCUAAUAACCCUCCUUGUCAAAACUUUUCUUCAUCAUUUUAUCUCUGAUUUGGAACCUGGCCAUAGCAUUCAUAUCCAUCCUCACCCAUAUUAAAAACGUAGAAUCUUGAGAGUUUCUGUUGUGUCUCAGUGGUAAUGAACCCGACUAGUAUCCAUGAGAAUACAGGUUUGAUUCCUGGCCUCCCUCAUUGGGUUAAGUAUCCAACAGACAUUGCCAUGAGUUGGGGUACAGAUCAUAGACCCGGCUCGGAUCCUGCAUUGCUAUGGCUGUGGCUGUGGCCGGCAGGUGCAGCUCUGAUUCGACCCCUAGCUUAGGAACUUCCAUAAGCUGCUGGUGUGGCCCUAAAAAGCCAAAUAAAUAAAUAAAUAAGAAUGUAGAAUCAUCCAUUCUCAUUUUCUAUGAUAAAUUCAUCCCUAAUUUGGCAGCAUUUACUUUCAAGUAUACCUGGUAUCUCUGCCUAAAGUAAUUAUGAGACUCUCUCUCACACUUGGAUCCACUGAAGGGACACAGCUCCCUUUUGUGUCCCUGGCUAGCUCUGAGGAAUACACUAAUACUCAGUGACCAACUGACCUACUGUCCACCACCAGCAAGCCAUUCACUGAGAGGGUCUAUCUUUAAGAGUCAGAGGCAUGCCAACAUAACUUCUGACUUUCAAAGCUGCCCUAACAUCUCACAUCUAAAUGUCAUUACUCAAUCCGACUUCCAGAGGGCAGCUGAAAUAACAGCUUUUUCCUCCUAAGCUCUGAUGAAUUCAACCAACAGUGAAUAUUCAAAUGAUCCCUCGGGUUUUGUUACAAAAUUCAAGAAUGUUUAGCCAACAUGGCUCAAAGAUCACUCUUUCAUGAAUCUUGUCCAACCCUAGGAAUCUCUAAGCUUUACUUCACUGGUCUUAAGCAAAUCACUGCAACAGAACCUGUAUGACAGCAUAACUCAAACAGUUUUCUUCUUUGUUUAGUGAAGAAUCAUUUUAAUUCAACAAGUCUGGAGUUCUUAGACUUACUCUACAACAUCAGAGCCCAGCAGAGAACUGGACAUAACGAUGGCUCGAUCCACUGAUAAGGCCUCAGGCCAGACUGUAGAAUCAGUCAGCCAGCAGAACAUCCCAGCCGCUGAAACUUUCUAUUUUUUGCCAUUAAAAAUCUCGUUCAAACCAAAUAAUUUUUACCAGGCAUUGGCAUGGUUCUUUCUGCCAGCUUCUCAAGUUUCUGUUAGCAAUUAGCUUGUAUCAGUGGUUCCAAAGCCUGUUUAUGUGAAAAUCCCAUAACAAUUUCCAAGUCCCCAGGGAUCCAGUUUCACUCAUGGAACUAGAAACUUGGAUUAAUCAAUCUUCUCCACACUUCCAGAAGUGACUCUUACUCUUUAAGGGACAGAGGCUCCUUAGAGGUUGGGUUAAACACUCCCAGGCAGCAAAGGCAGGAACGAGUUUUUGAAAAUUUCUUCUCUCUGGUGAACACAUAUACAAAUCCCUAAGAUCAGUUUUCUCUAUAAAAUACAGUUCCAAAUAGCACACUCUCACUUGUACAGCAAUUCUGACUUCAGUGUAAACUCUAUUAUGUCUUCUUUUAAAUAUGUGUAUAUGCUUUGUUUAUACUUUUGUUUUUUGAAGAAGGUCAUGAUUCCUGAAAUUUGUCAACCUUACCCACUCCUUUUCUUUUACAGUAUUUUUCCAAUAAUCUGAAAGUCGUGAAAAAAGUGCCCUUUAUUGAAGACCGGGGGUGUAAUAAUUUGAAUCGGAGAUAACAUGAUAAUUUCACCUUAAGUUUAUUUUACCAGAGGUAAGGCCUCACUACCUACCCAGAUAUAACUGGAGGGUCAUGGUUGUUGAGUAGCCUUGCUUUCAAAGGAAUGCGGUCUGUCAAACAAAAAUGAAAACUAAAUUUAUCAUUUUUUUAAUCUCAAGGAAAUAAUAAAGGAUCAAUUAAGUACAUUCAUGUGCAAUAAUAAUGCACAGAACGUCAUUUCUCUCCAUCACUGUCUCCCUCAAAUGUUGAAAUUCUGAAAUUCUCUUACCUACAUUCCAGUCUCAAUGAAAAGAUUUUUACCUUCAACCUAUGUAUUCUAGCCUUCAUUCUCCUCUGUUUCAGUUCUUGCUCAGUCUGUUCUAAGUCAGAAGUGGGAUGGCUGGAUCCUAUGGUAGUAAUAUUCUUGAUUUUUAGAGUAAAAUCACCGUACUGCUUUCCAUAAUGGCUGCAUAAUUUUAUAUUCCCACAAAUAGUGCAUAAGGAUUCUCUCUUAUCCACACCCUUGCAGAUACUUGCUAUUGAUUGUCUUUUUGAUAAUAGCAUUAUUCUAUCACAAUCCUCCAAUGGCCCCUAAAGAUCCACAUAUAUUCCACAUGCAAAAAAUAAUUACUCCAUCUUAACAUCCUCCCAAAGUCCAAAAUCUUAUCUCUAUCUCAUCAUCACAAAAAUCCCAAAUUUCAUCAUCUAAAAGAAGUAUGGAUGAGGCUCUGGGUAUAAUUUAUCCUGAGGUACAAUUUUUUUCUCCCUGUGAAAUUCUAGGUAUAAGUUAUCUUCUCUAAAAAUACAGAAGUGAAAAAGGCAUAGAAUAACAAUUAUAGAUAUUCCUAUUCAAAAUGGGGAAAAAUGGGACUGAAAAAUGGAUUCACCAGCGCCAAGCAAUUUCAAAGUCCAAUUAAACACAUCACAUUUGGUUG
rnacentral:lncRNA from 1 species